GGGGGACAGGAAUUUCUAUUCCAGGUAAAAGGGGAGCAGAUUCCAUGUCUUGGACAGUCCCAGAGCAGAAGGGGAGCAGAUUCCAUGUCUUGGACAGUCGCAGAGCAGAAGGGGAGCAGGUUCCAAGUCCUGAACAGCCCUGGGGAGAAGGGGAGCUCCAUUCCCUGCACGUGGAGAGGCUCCUGAGCCAUUUCCUGCCGGGCCUGGGUUAUGUUGGUUCACUUUGGCUCCUGCCCUGGAUGCCACUUCCAUGACAUCACUUGGAGUGGAGGAGCUGUUAACCCAGGGCAUGCUGCUGCUGUGAUUUUCCCAGGAUGGCAGAGGAGUUGCUCCAAGCGUGGCUGCAGCAGAUGUGAGGAUGUGUUUGGGGGAGCCUCUGCUGCCGAGCCCUUCCUGGAAUCCUGCAGAAGCCGAAAAGAGCAGGAAAUAUUUUUCUAAGGCAGCCGAAACGAGCCCUCCUUCAAUAAUAACCCAAGGGAUGGUGGAGUUGUCAAGCUGAGCUCAUAUCGAACUGGUUCUGCGGUGCUGGCUGGUGGCACUGGGGACACUGAGCCAGUCCCAGGUGUCCCCAGGAGGAGCACAGACCUGGCUGCCACCGAAGGACUUCACCGGGAAGGAAACCCGAGCUGCCGGGAGCCAGGGCUGCGGCUGGGAGGAGGAAAUUGCUGUUUCUGCUGAGCCGUGCAGAGAAAACAAAUCUCACCCCCAGGAGCCGCCUUCAAAGGGAGAAAUUCCUGCCCUGGGAGCUGCCCAGGGCUCAGCCCUGGCACCCACGGGCUGGGCAGAGCCUGGAGGGACUCAGGGGAGGGGUUGGAUGGGAGGGAUCCCAAAGCUCAUCCAGUUCCAUGUUCCAGGCUGCUCCAAGCCCUGUCCAGCCUGACCUUGGGGUCCAGGGGCAUCCACACUGCUCUGGGAAUCUCUUCUAAGGUCUCCCCACCCUCACUGGGGAGAAUUUAAACCUAAAUCCUCCUCCUGUGUCACCAGAGCCCUCCUGGGAUGAUGUUCCCUGGUCUCUCUUCAUUUUGAAAAAUCUCCUUUUUUUUUUUUUUUUGCUCCCACCAAAGCCUUUCCUGCUGCCUCUCUCCCUUUCCAUGGUUUUCCUCCUCUUGGAUUUUCAUGUUUUUCUGGAAAACCCCAGGCUCUGGAUGUUCCUCUGUGAGCAGCCCAGUGUCCACCCUGUUCCAUUCUGAUCCCAGCUCCUCUUUUAUUCCAGCUGUGGUGGGAUCCUGAGGAGAUCAUGGAAUUUUCUUGGCUCCCUGCUGGCACUUCCAGGGAUCCAGGAGCAGCCACAGUUUCUCUGGGAAUCUUUUCCAGAGCCUCCCCUCCCUCACUGGGGAAAAUUCAAACCUAAAUCCAACCUAAAUCCUUCUCCAGAGCCCCCCUGAGAUGAUGUUCCCUGCUCUCUCUUCAUUCUGAAAAAUCCUUCUCUCUUCAUUUUGAAAAAUCUCCAUUUUUUGCUCCCACCAAAGCCUUUCC
rnacentral:lncRNA from 1 species